UCGAAAUCGAACGGAAGAACGACCCGCGAACCGUCUUUGCGUAACGAACCGAGCUCGCGAGCAGCAAACGCUCGCGCGUCUCGUGUCGCGUCGGCGCGGUCCUCGAAAGGGCCACGCCGCACCGACAAACUAACAAUGUCAGCACGGAUCGUGCCAAGGAGCUGUACAUGCGAGAGUCGCCGUCCCACGCCCCCGGUCCCCCUCGACUGGGGGCGGGUGACAUGCGCGAUCUCCGCUCUUAGUCUUAAUGACUCUCGGCAACGGAUAUCUCGGCUCUUGCAUCGAUGAAGAACGUAGCGAAAUGCGAUACUUGGUGUGAAUUGCAGAAUCCCGCGAACCAUCAAUUCUUUGAACGCAAGUUGCGCCCGAAGCCAUCCGGCCGAGGGCACGCCUGCCUGGGUGUCGUGAAUCCCCUUGCCCCCGGGCACCCGCACGAGCAUCGUCGCGGAUAUGCCCGGGCGCAGAAUAUGGUCUCCCGUCGGAUCGGCGUGCGCUGCACGUCGUGGGGCGGUUGGCCGAAAAUCGAGCAUUGCGAUGUCGGGCUCCACGGCGUUCGGUGGAUCGAACGCGAUUGGCUGCGCCGUGGUCCCGUCAUGCCGCGGGCUCCGGACUACGACGAUUCCCGUG
rnacentral:rRNA from 1 species